UACGUAGGGGGCAAGCGUUGUCCGGAAUCAUUGGGCGUAAAGAGCGUGUAGGCGGCCCGAUAAGUCCGCCGUGAAAGUCCAGGGCUCAACCCUGGAAUGCCGGUGGAAACUGUCGGGCUGGAGUCCGGAAGAGGCGAGUGGAAUUCCUGGUGUAGCGGUGAAAUGCGCAGAUAUCGAGGAGGAACACCAAUGGCGAAGGCAGCUCGCUGGGACGGUACUGACGCUGAGACGCGAAAGCGUGGGGAGCAAACAGG
rnacentral:rRNA from 1 species